rnacentral:rRNA from 1 species
UAGGGAAUCUUCCGCAAUGGGCGAAAGCUUGACGGAGCAACGCCGCGUGAGUGAUGAAGGUCUUCGGAUCGUAAAACUCUGUUAUUAGGGAAGAACAAAUGUGUAAGUAACUAUGCACGUCUUGACGGUACCUAAUCAGAAAGCCACGGCUAACUACGUGCCAGCAGCCGCGGUAAUACGUAGGUGGCAAGCGUUAUCCGGAAUUAUUGGGCGUAAAGCGCGCGUAGGCGGUUUUUUAAGUCUGAUGUGAAAGCCCACGGCUCAACCGUGGAGGGUCAUUGGAAACUGGAAGACUUGAGUGCAGAAGAGGAAAGUGGAAUUCCAGGUGUAGCGGUGAAAUGCGCAGAGAUAUGGAGGAACACCAGUGGCGAAGGCGACUUUCUGGUCUGUAACUGACGCUGAUGUGCGAAAGCGUGGGGAUCAAACAGG